rnacentral:misc_RNA from 1 species
AACCUAGCACACCUGCGGUGUGUACCUGCGGAGGGAUCAUUACAUGAUUUAACAGGGAGUGGAGGCUUCGGCCAAAGCUCUGUCUGAACCCAUGUCUUUUGCGUACUUCUUGUUUCCUCGGUGGGCUUGCCCACCGAUAGGACAACCUUAAACUCUUUGCAAUUGCAAUCAGCGUCUGAAAAACUAUAAUAGUUACAACUUUCAACAAUGGAUCU